GGUAUUUCAUUCGAAGGAGCUGCUGAUUGUUCGUUCCCGCAGCUGUUUUACAGCAAAAUCAGACUCUCGGAAGCGCGGCGCUGAAUUUCCCUGCCAUCCCAAAGAACGCUGCCCUUUGAAACUGUCAAAAAAAAAAUUAUUGUUGCAAAAUUUCCAGCUUUGUACCAUCAGACAGCUGGGCAGCUAACAGCAGAGAAAGUCACAUUGCAAAUCUACCCUCAAAUAACACACCGCUUUCUUCCCGGAUUACAACAGAGAGAUGGAAAGGAGCAUCGGGACAUUUGAAACAAACUCGAUGACAAUACAAUUCCGGAGUUCUCUCCCUCUGUUAUAUUCCUCGGCUCCUGUUCUCGUCUGCAGAAUGGUGCUGAAAUUCGUGAAAUUAGAUUUUCGCUUCGUUUUACAGCGAGCAUGGCAAUCGUUAUCAGAGUCCGUCUCUGCUCGGUUCUAAAUCGCUCCAAGUCAUUCAUUUCAUUGAAACUGAUUCCACUCGCUGGAUUUAAAGUUUCUGUUUUUUUUAAAAAAAGAAAAUAAAACGGACAAAUGUGGAAUCAGGAGCAGGAGUCGCGGGUUGGGAGCAAGUGGAUAAUAUUUGGAAGAAAAGCAGACUCAGCAAAUGUGAAGCGAAGGAUUUGUGGAAAACAGAUUAAUGAUGAAAGAAGAGCUAAUCUUCAGGGCGAGAAAUGCAAGAAGACCCGGCGAAACACGUGCGGCAUAAUUAAAUCAGAAAUUUAUUUUUGUUUUUGAAAACCCCAGUUUGUGAUGGUAGGGAAUUUUUUUGGCGUGUUUGCUGGUUUACUGAGGAAGGGCAGAUAUCCCCCUACUGGUGAACAGUCUGAGUUCACUGCAAAGGUCACUAUUGUAAAACUCAAUUUACAACAGCAAUUCGGCUUUGGUGCGACCGUUUAGGUGUAAAAAAACCAAAAACAAAGCGGGGGGGGGUGGGGAAACCACCUUUUGAAACAAAGUUAACGGGGUUAAAGAACGAAGGAGUGCUGCAUAAUUUUGGAUGAAAAUUUUCCCCAUUAAUUGAGGCGCUCUCAGCUCUCCUCACUGUCUGAUGCCUAGAAAUUGUCUCUCUCUCUCCGAGAGGUGCAUCUACAAUUGCACUCACUGAAAUGACACGUCUGAGCUGUCGUUGUCAAACAGGGUGAGUAAAUUAUGACAAGCAAUUCCUGCAGUAACUGGCCACAUGGCAAAGGUGACGCGUCCGCGAUGCUCUCAGUUUAAUUAUUUGUCUCCAAACUCCCGCACAAAGUGGCAGGGGGUGUUUGAAGACCAGAAACGCUGCUUUUCCACCCCCCCCCCCCGCCAACUUCUCAGCCCCAUCAAACAAUUACACUUGUUCCUUCCACUUUUGAUGUUGACACGCAAUGAAAUGCCCUACAACGUCCCAAUAUUAGCAACGUCUCUCAUUUAGAUGCCCCGUUUCUUCUCUUGCCUCGCCCCUACUUUAUGUUUUUGUUUAAAUGAGACCAGCUACUGUUAACCGUUUCACCAAGGGAAAGUUGGCGAAAAUUUGAACAAACCUUACCGAGGCAUCAUUAAACUGUCACAUAUUGUUUAAGUAAUACCAUAAAACGUUUCGUUGACACAUCUAACUAUUAAAAUCUUAAAUAAUUUUACGAUUUAAAAAAAAUCACUAAAGUAUUUGGGUGAUUGAUUUAGAAUUGGCCAGUGAGAGUGAUAAUUGCUCAUGAUUCUUUCAGUUUCCCAGUAUUAUUGCAGACGCUAAUUUUAAACAACUAAUUGGUCAUUUCCUAAUUAGAGUUUAUCCGUUUUGAUCAUGUUAUGUACUUUUAAAUCGUCAGUUAUUGAAAUCAAAAAAUACAUUUUUUAAAGUGCUUUAUUUGGGCGGCUGCAUUUUUAUUCCUGAACUGAACUCAUGUUGGAUAUAAAAAAGAAUUCGUUGAUUGAGAUCUUGCUGGUGAAAAACACAUGCGUUUUGUCAAAUUGUUCCCCUUGCACUCAUCAGGACAUUUUUCAAGAGUACAAAUUCAAAAGGAAAGCCAGUAAUUAUAUGACAUGAGAUUGAAAUCCUGUCUGAGCAGUGUCCAGGUGAGGCAGCGUUCUGAAAUAAACAAUUCAGUUGGAGACAGGGAACAGUACCUGUUUAACAAUUCCUUUCUCUCAGUCUCUCUGAACAACCCCCCCAACUAUCCUUUGAGUCUUGAGAUCUGCUGGAUCCAGCAAAAGGAAUUAAGGCUGACAUUGGCAGCUUGAUUACCAAGGUCAGAGCAGACAAGUCUGCCUCAGGUGUCAGCACAUGCUAGACCAGCUCAGCUCCUAUCCACCUGAUGAGAUCUGAUCCAAUAAUAGUCACUGUGUUAGCCUUUAAUGAGGCAUCCUGUGAGAGCUUAUCAGCCUCCACCUGCUCUCUGUAGUAAUACCAACAGUUCCAGGGAACGUCAAAGAAGCACAACCAUCCCUUCCCUCCUCAAUCUCUUGUACAGGAAGAUUGUGUUUCAAACUAACAAUUGUCACUUAUGUUCAGGCCCUCUUUGAUCCAGGUAUGUCCUGGAACGGCACCUGACGUACUGUUUGGAGCACCGGCCGUGUGACAAAUUAGACGCAGUGCAAGGAAGAACAUACGCAGAAAGUGUUGUGUUAGGUUUCUUCAGUGAUCUACUCCCUUGGUAACAGAUGCCAAUAACAACCAAACUCAAACAAAACCUCGAUCAAAAAUAUCGGCUCCCCGGGGAGGUUGUUAGAGAGCUGUAUGGAUGAUCCCGUGAACUGAGAGGGAAAAAUCGUUCGUUUUCUGACUGGUAACGGAGCUGAAAGUUGAGAUUUUGCAAUAUUUGACUCUCACUUUGAUAACUUUCAAUAUAGUUCCAUGGUUAUGAAUUUACUUGGAUUUACACAGGUAAAACAAGGUUUCCGACAUAUUUCCAGCAGAGUGGGAGCAGGUCCAAGGACAUUUCCAAUCAUUAAACUUUGCUGUUUGUUCUCAUAGCUGCCAUUACCAUUAUUGAGGCCUUACCAUUCUUCAAAACUCUGUGCAUUCUCACCAACUGAAAGCAGAAUGGGAUGCUGCAGGAAAAUGGGAUGCACACAGCAAGAUCCCACAAACGUCAAUCUUUCAAUGAUUUUCUAAAGAUGUUCUUGGAUGGAUAAACAUUGGCUCCUUACCUUCAGAAAACAGCAACUUAUAUUUAAAAUUUAAAUAACUUAUAUUUGACUUGUACCUUUAACAUAAUAAAGCACCUCAAGGCGUUUCACAUGUGCAUUAUAAAAUGAACUAUGGAAAUGCCAGUUAAAGAAACCCAGAGAAGCAAUCUACACUUGUCUGCAAAUUUAGGGAACAAUUUGGUUAUUUAAAUCCGUGAAAAUCAUUUUUUUAAUUCA